CCAACGAUACUCCUGUUCAGUCACAGUCCGAGCGUGAAAGUGUUUCCAGCACUAUGCCGUCGCAGGCAAUGAGAGCAGCCGCAUGAGAACCAUGCGGGGGUGAAAUUCCCGUGG
rfam:Oscillibacter sp. 1-3 genomic scaffold acPPL-supercont1.2, whole genome shotgun sequence.